AUGAACGCUGGCGGCGUGCUUAACACAUGCAAGUCGAACGAUGAAGCCCAGCUUGCUGGGUGGAUUAGUGGCGAACGGGUGAGUAACACGUGAGUAACCUGCCCUUAACUCUGGGAUAAGCCUGGGAAACUGGGUCUAAUACCGGAUAGGAGCGUCCACCGCAUGGUGGGUGUUGGAAAGAUUUAUCGGUUUUGGAUGGACUCGCGGCCUAUCAGCUUGUUGGUGAGGUAAUGGCUCACCAAGGCGACGACGGGUAGCCGGCCUGAGAGGGUGACCGGCCACACUGGGACUGAGACACGGCCCAGACUCCUACGGGAGGCAGCAGUGGGGAAUAUUGCGCAAUGGGCGCAAGCCUGAUGCAGCGACGCCGCGUGAGGGAUGACGGCCUUCGGGUUGUAAACCUCUUUCAGUAGGGAAGAAGCGAAAGUGACGGUACCUGCAGAAGAAGCACCGGCUAACUACGUG
rnacentral:rRNA from 1 species